rnacentral:rRNA from 1 species
GACGGAGGGGGCUAGCGUUGUUCGGAAUGACUGGGCGUAAAGGGCGUGUAGGCGGUUAAAUAAGUGAGGCGUGAAAGCCCUGGGCUUAACCCAGGAGGUGCGUUUCAUACUGUUUGACUUGAGUACGAGAGAGGAAAGUGGAAUUCCUAGUGUAGAGGUGAAAUUCGUAGAUAUUAGGAAGAACACCAGUGGCGAAGGCGCUUUCUGGCUCGUAACUGACGCUGAGGCGCGAAAGCGUGGGGAGCAAACAGG